rnacentral:rRNA from 1 species
CCUACGGGUGGCUGCAGUGGGGAAUAUUGGACAAUGGGGGGAACCCUGAUCCAGCCAUGCCGCGUGUGUGAAGAAGGCCCUCGGGUUGUAAAGCACUUUCAGUGAGGAAGAACGCCUGGGGGUGAAUACACAUCAGGAAAGACAUCACUCACAGAAGAAGCACCGGCUAACUCCGUGCCAGCAGCCGCGGUAAUACGGAGGGUGCGAGCGUUAAUCGGAAUUACUGGGCGUAAAGCGCGCGUAGGUGGCUUGAUAAGCCGGUUGUGAAAGCCCCGGGCUCAACCUGGGAACGGCAUCCGGAACUGUCAAGCUAGAGUGCGGGGGAGGAAGGUAGAAUUCCCGGUGUAGCGGUGAAAUGCGUAGAGAUCGGGAGGAAUACCAGUGGCGAAGGCGGCCUUCUGGACUGACACUGACACUGAGGUGCGAAAGCGUGGGUAGCGAACAGGAUUAGAUACCCUUGUAGUC